rnacentral:lncRNA from 1 species
UUUAUUUCGGAACAUGAACCCCAUCUCGUCUUGUUCCUUCCUAGAUAUCAUGUUUUUCCAUCUCCGAACCAUGGUUUUAAACUUUUACUUAUAAUUUAUCCAUUUUUUUAUUUUUGAUAAACCCGAUCGGUUGAUCCGGUCAGCUCUGGGAGGAUCACACCGAAGUGCUACAAUGUGGACUCGUCGCCAAUACCUAGGUGUUGGGCUACCACAUCGCCUGAAUCCAGAUUAACGCUUUCCGAAUCCAGAUGAACGCUUUCCGACUAAUGCCCGGGGGUAAUCAGGCCGCCUGCAUUUCUGAUUACCAGGUAAACCAAUUGGGCCUAAGCCCAACUGACAGACUUCCCCAAAAGAUGGUGUUAACAGCAAAGUGGAGAAUCGAACCCAGGUUAUGGGAAUUGCAUCCUUCCUCCAAGCUCCCCUACCACCAGCCCACCACCUCUU